rnacentral:rRNA from 1 species
AUUGAACGCUGGCGGCAGGCCUAACACAUGCAAGUCGAGCGGCAGCACGGGUACUUGUACCUGGUGGCGAGCGGCGGACGGGUGAGUAAUGCCUAGGAAUCUGCCUGGUAGUGGGGGAUAACGUUCGGAAACGAACGCUAAUACCGCAUACGUCCUACGGGAGAAAGCAGGGGACCUUCGGGCCUUGCGCUAUCAGAUGAGCCUAGGUCGGAUUAGCUAGUUGGUGGGGUAAUGGCUCACCAAGGCGACGAUCCGUAACUGGUCUGAGAGGAUGAUCAGUCACACUGGAACUGAGACACGGUCCAGACUCCUACGGGAGGCAGCAGUGGGGAAUAUUGGACAAUGGGCGAAAGCCUGAUCCAGCCAUGCCGCGUGUGUGAAGAAGGUCUUCGGAUUGUAAAGCACUUUAAGUUGGGAGGAAGGGCCGUUACCUAAUACGUGAUGGUUUUGACGUUACCGACAGAAUAAGCACCGGCUAACUCUGUGCCAGCCGCCGCCGUAAAAC